rnacentral:rRNA from 1 species
AAAUUGAAGAGUUUGAUCAUGGCUCAGAUUGAACGCUGGCGGCAGGCCUAACACAUGCAAGUCGAACGGUAACAGGAAGCAGCUUGCUGCUUUGCUGACGAGUGGCGGACGGGUGAGUAAUGUCUGGGAAACUGCCUGAUGGAGGGGGAUAACUACUGGAAACGGUGGCUAAUACCGCAUAACGUCGCAAGACCAAAGAGGGGGACCUUCGGGCCUCUUGCCAUCAGAUGUGCCCAGAUGGGAUUAGCUUGUUGGUGAGGUAACGGCUCACCAAGGCGACGAUCCCUAGCUGGUCUGAGAGGAUGACCAGCCACACUGGAACUGAGACACGGUCCAGACUCCUACGGGAGGCAGCAGUGGGGAAUAUUGCACAAUGGGCGCAAGCCUGAUGCAGCCAUGCCGCGUGUAUGAAGAAGGCCUUCGGGUUGUAAAGUACUUUCAGCGGGGAGGAAGGUGUUGUGGUUAAUAACCACAGCAAUUGACGUUACCCGCAGAAGAAGCACCGGCUAACUCCGUGCCAGCAGCCCGCGUAAUACGGAGGGUGCAAGCGUUAAUCGGAAUUACUGGGCGUAAAGCGCACGCAGGCGGUCUGUCAAGUCGGAUGUGAAAUCCCCGGGCUCAACCUGGGAACUGCAUUCGAAACUGGCAGGCUUGAGUCUUGUAGAGGGGGGUAGAAUUCCAGGUGUAGCGGUGAAAUGCGUAGAGAUCUGGAGGAAUACCGGUGGCGAAGGCGGCCCCCUGGACAAAGACUGACGCUCAGGUGCGAAAGCGUGGGGAGCAAACAGGAUUAGAUACCCUGGUAGUCCACGCCGUAAACGAUGUCUACUUGGAGGUUGUGCCCUUGAGGCGUGGCUUCCGGAGCUAACGCGUUAAGUAGACCGCCUGGGGAGUACGGCCGCAAGGUUAAAACUCAAAUGAAUUGACGGGGGCCCGCACAAGCGGUGGAGCAUGUGGUUUAAUUCGAUGCAACGCGAAGAACCUUACCUGGUCUUGACAUCCACAGAACUUUCCAGAGAUGGACUGGUGCCUUCGGGAACUGUGAGACAGGUGCUGCAUGGCUGUCGUCAGCUCGUGUUGUGAAAUGUUGGGUUAAGUCCCGCAACGAGCGCAACCCUUAUCCUUUGUUGCCAGCGAUUAGGUCGGGAACUCAAAGGAGACUGCCAGUGAUAAACUGGAGGAAGGUGGGGAUGACGUCAAGUCAUCAUGGCCCUUACGACCAGGGCUACACACGUGCUACAAUGGCGCAUACAAAGAGAAGCGACCUCGCGAGAGCAAGCGGACCUCAUAAAGUGCGUCGUAGUCCGGAUUGGAGUCUGCAACUCGACUCCAUGAAGUCGGAAUCGCUAGUAAUCGUGGAUCAGAAUGCCACGGUGAAUACGUUCCCGGGCCUUGUACACACCGCCCGUCACACCAUGGGAGUGGGUUGCAAAAGAAGUAGGUAGCUUAACCUUCGGGAGGGCGCUUACCACUUUGUGAUUCAUGACUGGGGUGAAGUCGUAACAAGGUAACCGUAGGGGAACCUGCGGUUGGAUCACCUCCUUACCUUAAAGAA